rnacentral:rRNA from 1 species
AUUGAACCCUGGCGGCAGGCUUAAUACAUGCAAGUCGAACGAGUGGCGGACGGGUGAGUAAUGCUUGGGAAUCUAGCUUAUGGAGGGGGAUAACUACGGGAAACUGUAGCUAAUACCGCGAACAUUAGGUUGAGCCCAAGUGGGUUUAGUUAGUUGGUUAGGAAAGGGCUAACCAAGCCGACGAUCUCUAGCUGGUCUGAGAGGAUGACCAGCCACACUGGGACUGAGACACGGCCCAGACUCCUACGGGAGGCAGCAGUGGGGAAUAUUGCGCAAUGGGGGCAACCUGACGCAGCCAUGCCGCGUGAAUGAAGAAGGCCGUCGGGUUGUAAAGGUCUUUCGGUAGCGAGGCGUUAACUACAGAAGAAGCACCGGCUAACUCCGUGCCAGCAGCCGCGGUAAUAC